rnacentral:misc_RNA from 1 species
UGUAGAGCAUUAUUACCAGGCACAAAAGUUUGUUGGGGUAUCUGAUCCUGUAGCUAAAAGCUGUAUUGAAGAAUUAAAAUGUGCAAAGAGCCCCGAGGAAGCAGCACGGAUUGGAAGGAGAAUACAGAGGCAGCAACCUAAUCUGGUAAGACCAGACUGGGAAUCUAUCAAGAUUGACGUCAUGUACAAGGCCUUACAAUGCAAGUUCACUACAUACCCCUAUUUAAACUCUUUGUUGCUCUCAACGGCGGGAUCUGUUCUUGUGGAGGGUUCACCACAUGAUCUAUUCUGGGGAGGAGGUCGAGACGGAGAAGGCCUUAACUAUCUUGGACGAUUGCUAAUGAAGUUGAGAUCUGAGCUCUUAGGUGAGUCUUCAACCAGUCAAAAAUCUUUGCUUCCUCAAACUUCAGAAAAUAAUUAGUAGUGAUGUUUCUCAUUUCUG